ensembl:ncRNA C18C4.16 ncRNA
UCCUUUCAUCGCCAUCGUUGUGACGACGACGUAGUCUUCGUUGUCUGUUUCUGCUCCGUUUAAUUCCAAUUUACUAGUAGCUUCACCUCCUUUUCAAACUCUGCAAAUGUCUGAAGAUUUCGGGUUUUUAUCUGCCCUGACU